UCUUUAAGGUGUUCUGGUUAUUUCUGUUGUCCAUCAUCUGCUUCAUAUUCCUAUGUGCUGUGAACCUCUGGCACUGCUCUCAUCUGCAGAGGAGAAGAAGGAUGAGAGGAUGAAGACUGACAGUUCAGAACCAGCUGAAGAUGCUGCUCCUGGGCCAAGUCUAGCAGAUGAUAAAGAGUCAAACUCUUAUCCUAGCCACAAUCUUAUGGUGUACCAAGAGCCAGUAUCUUUUCCUGAUCCGAAUCUAGUGGAUGAACAGGAGAUGGUCUCUAAUCCUGACCCCAAUCUUUCGGAUGACGAGGUGUCGGCCUCAGAUUCUGACCCCAGUCUUGCGGAUGACCAGGAGUCGGUCUCAGAUCCUGAUCCCUGUGUAGCAGACAACAAGGAGUUGGUCUGGUAUCCUGAUCCCUAUCUGGUGGACAACCAAGAGUUGGUUUCGUAUCCUGAUUCCUAUAUAGCAGACAACCAGGAGUCGAUCUCAUAUCCUGAGCCCUAUCUAGCGGACAACCAGGAAUUGGUCUCGUAUCCUGAGCCCUAUCUAGCAGACCAGCAGGAUCCGGUCACACAUCCUGAUCCAUAUCAAGUGGAUGGCCAGGAAUUGGCCUCAUAUCCUGAUCCAUAUCUAGCAGACAACCAGCAGCCAUACUUGUAUCCUGACCCCUAUCUAGCAGAUGACCAGGAGUCUGUCAGGUAUCCUGAGCCCUAUCUUUCAGAUGAUGAGGAGUCGUAGAAGAGGAGCAGCAGUCAUUCCUGUCACUCGUCUGCAGGUCCAAUUUAUCAAGUAGCAGUGGAGCAUUCAGCCUGUUUGGCCAGGGAGUCCUCUAUGACUGCUGGUGCCCUGGUCCUGGUUUCAUAUCCUGCUGUCUGCUCUGCCUCACAUCCUGUAUACCCAUCACUCCAUAUUCAAAUGUCUGGUUUCAUUAACUGCCACACGGUUUUGCACCAAACGUACUCUGAAUUAUUUUAGUUUUACACCUUUUUAAGCUUAACUUUAAACUAAUAGCAAGUUUAAUGAUAUUAUUGUUGGAAUUAACCUUUACUUUUAGCAUUACUGAUGCCAAAUGACUAUCA
rnacentral:lncRNA from 1 species